GGAUGUAAGGGCAAUCUGGCUGCCAACAUCUGUCACCCCAUUGAUUGCCUUGGUUGAUUUGGCUGAUCUGGCUAGCUAGGUGGGUGACCCCUUCCUCCCUCACCCACUGCUCCAUGUGUGUCCCUCCUGAAGCUACACGCUCAGUUGAAGAGGACGACCAUCCCCAAUAGAGGAGGACCAGUAGCAGCACUCCCCUGCUAGAACCUCCAAGCAAGCUCUCAAGAGUCAAGAGGACACCAUAAUGGUUUACUUAAGCCCUAAUUCCAAAGAUAAGUGAGUGUCUCCAU
ensembl:misc_RNA 7SK 7SK RNA